GGAGAGGAAGAAAGAAUGCCAUUGGUUGAAAAGAGAGGUACUUCAUUACACAGGACCUAGGCUGUGAAAAUGUAUAAGGCCCUUCAGAUCUCAGGUUCAGGGAGAGAUGAUGUCAUGACUGAUGAUGCGCUAAUGGGCCCAAAGGGGUUAUCAGAUGAACCUUUCCCUGCCUACCUUAAUGGGAUAGUGGCUACUGUGGUUGCGCAUGAUUGCACGCAGAGUCAUUGAACAUCAUUACAAUACAGGACAGAAGCUACUCUGUGUAAAACUGUUUCCUUCUGUGCCAAGCAGCUGUAACUGCUGGAAAUACUUUUCCUGAAGCCACUAAUGAGAGUUGCUACUUUUGACUUCAAGAAAAAGCAGAUUUUCUAAAACCAACUAAAUCAAUGAUCAUCAAAAAUGACAAAUAUUGGCAGCGGCAUCUCUGUGUGUGUACAGAGCUGUAUGUGUGUGUGUUUGUUUUUAUUUUCCAGCUUGAUACUGACUGGAAAUCGCUUGCCUAAAUCUGUUGAGUGGGUAGUACAGACAAGGCUGAACACAGGCGAGGCAGAGCGGGUUGUGGCCUGCCUGCAAACACGCACACCUUCGUAGACAUGGAGGAAAUGUGGCAAUAGUAGUAAGAAGCCAGUGACUGCUUACAGCUUAAACUGAAACUGCUAAUAAAAACUUUAAGGAGCUGAAAUGUGUAUUGUACAUUGGUGUCAUAUAAACCUUUAUCUUGAGUUUAAAUGGCUUAUGGUCUUUGACCUUUGAGUCAUGGGAGAGGGCAGUUGAGGAAAACAGAUCACUGUAUAGCAACAAGAAAACCACAAGGAAAUGGCCCCCUGUGGGAGUUGACUGGAGAAGAUGUGGAUUUAACAUUUCAAUUUGCAUUGUGAAAUAAGGAAUAGCUCAAUAGUAAGGCAGUAUUAGGGCUGUUUUCCCAAUGCAUGAGGAUUGUGCUUUGGUUUUUAGCCUUCUAAGAACAACCUUUCAUGUAAUAAUGUAGACAUGGAGUAUUAAAGAAAGAAUAACAGUGGUUACAAAAACUUCAUGACUCAACAGUCCAUAUGAAUAACAACCCUGCCCAGACCACGCCAGGCUGCUGUGGGCUGCUAACUUGUUGGUGGUGGAAAAAAUGCAUGUGUGGCACAUAAUAAUCUGCAAUGAGUCAUACAUUUGGCUGAUAUAGAAGAUGAUUUUUCCUCACUAAGUGUACGAAAAUGUAAUAAAUAGACAAAAGCUGUGAACAUUUGUGAAAUGGAUGUUUGCAAAAGGCUGUGUGCAUCUGUGGAUGAAGCAGCCAUAUGUCAAUCUACAAAAUACCAAAUGGUUAUGGAGCCCAGGAGACAGCAUAUGUGCUCUCCUUCUCCACUGUGCUCUGUUUCUGUGUGUUCCUGCAGUACAGAAUCGCCUCCAUAUAAAGCCUAAUAGGGAAAAACACGGCAACCUAGUUCGGUUUUUUACCCUUAAUUAACCGAAAGAGCAAUAAUUAACUACGUUGAGUUUUUGUUCAAUUUUUUUUUUUUAGCUAUAUUUAGUUUGUUAUACAGGCUGUAAUUAAAUGACAAACAAACGACCCAUUUAUAGUACGUAUUCUUCACCCGCUGUGUAAUGCAAACUGAAUAAUUAAAUGCAACUUAAAGGACGUUUUCUAGGAGUUUAAAGAUAAAUCGGGAAAAAAAUAGUCCGGUUGCUGAAGAUGUGGAUAGCUCCAGAUCUGCAUGAGGUCCACACCCAUCCAUCCAUUGCAGUCAUUGUUUCCAUUUCUUCCCCCGUUUAAAGAAAAAAAAAAGAAAGAUCGAAGAGAAAGCCGUAAAACAAAC